rnacentral:sRNA from 15 species
UCAAAGCUUUCGCGUCCGCCGCAACACUACCUAACGGGAAAAGCGGAAGAACCUUACUGAGUGUAAGACGACAGAAGAGACGACAACGACGAAACAAAAAGCACAGAAAAGGAGACCAAAAGUGUUUGUUGUUUGGUGUUAUCAGUGGAUGCAAGUGGACGACAUCUUGUCCUGUGAUUGAGUACUGGAGAGUGGACCGGUUGCGGAGGAGGAGCUUGUCAGCAGCACAGGUGGCUGCUCCUCACCACAGUCCAGCUGGAAAACGGAGAAAGUACCGCAAUAACAGCGGCGGGGCAUAAUUAACGACAAAAGCGGAAA